rnacentral:rRNA from 1 species
CAAACUGAAGAUGGCGACCGGCGCACGGGUGAGUAACACGUAUCCAACCUGCCGAUAACUCUGGAAUAGCCUUUCGAAAGAAAGAUUAAUACCGGAUAGUAUACGAAUAUCGCAUGAUAUUUUUAUUAAAGAAUUUCGGUUAUCGAUGGGGAUGCGUUCCAUUAGUUUGUUGGCGGGGUAACGGCCCACCAAGACUACGAUGGAUAGGGGUUCUGAGAGGAAGGUCCCCCACAUUGGAACUGAGACACGGUCCAAACUCCUACGGGAGGCAGCAUGU